rnacentral:rRNA from 1 species
GACGAACGCUGGCGGCGUGCUUAAUACAUGCGAGUUAAGCGGUGAAGGUUAGUACUUGUACCAACUGGGUGAGCAGCGAACGGGUGAGUCACGCGUGGGGUACCUCCCUUUGAGCGGGAGCCAACAUAAGGAAACGCAAGCUAAUACUGCAUAAAAACUUUAACCACAAGUAUUAAGGUAGAAAGAUGCAAUUGCAUCACUCAAUGAUGACCCAUCGGUUGAUUAGCUAGUUAGUGGGGUACAAGGUCACCAAGGCGAUGAUACAGAGCCGACCUGAGCGGGAGGUCGGGCACAUCGGGACUGGGAAUCGGCCCAAACUCCUACGGGAGGCAGCAGUAGGGAAUCCUCGGCGAUGGACGAAAGUCUGACCGAGCAACGCCGGAUGAGUGAAGAAGGUUUUCGGAUCGUAAAAAUCUGUUUGUAGGGAAGAACGAUGGUGAUAGUGGAAAGCGCAUCAAGUGACGGUAACUACCCAGAAAGGGACGGCUAACUACGUG